GGCGCGGGACCGAGCGCGCUUGCCUCCCCGAGGCGCGCGGCUGGGGGGCGUCCGAGGCCCUGGUCUUUCGGCCCGCUGGCCCGGGGCGAGGGCGCGGCACGGAGAUUGCUCGCUGGCUCCUCUCUCCUCCCCUCAGCCCCUCCGCACUACCCCUGGGUAAAGGCGGCCAAGCCGAGGCUCGGAGAGCAAUGGUUUGAGCUCUCACUCCAAGUGAUGAAUUCAUCUUAGUAGUUUUGGAACAGACCUUCCUUAUGGUUUGUACUUCGAGACUAAGGACAUUGAAAAGGGGGAAAUUGCAUAGCUCACCUAGAGCCAGCUUGACAGCGUAAUUUUUAGGAAUCAAGAAAUCAAGAAUCAAUAUUGGGUUAUUUCUUAAGAUUAAGCCUUGAAAGUCCACUUCGACAUGGCACAACAUGUGCACACUUGAACAUGAAAAUGAUCUUCCCUCAAGGAGAUCACUCUCUUCAACUACGUCAACGGAAGUGGUUCCAAGAAGAAAAGACCCCCUAUCUGACCAAACUCAGCCAGACAAAUUAAAUCAGUCUUUUUGAGCAAGGAGUAAAGCUAUACAAGAGUGGCCUGAUGACCCCUUUCUGCUUGCAUCACCACCGAGCAGCCCCCUCUAGGAUGGCCACCUAUUGUGCCUUGUACAAGGGCACCUGGCUGGGACAGCCAGUGAGAGCUGGAAUCCUGCCAGGCUCCACUCACCAAGCCGGGUUUAUGGGUGUGUGAUUGUGUCUACUCAGACUAUGUGGCUUUUCUAAGUUGUACCAAGGCACCCUGUAUGGGCGAGGGGCAGUUCUGACCAUCCCAGUACCAUAUCCCAGUUCUACCCAGGAUUCCUGACCUCAGAUGGAAUGACGAUUCUCAUGAGCAGAUUAGGUUUGUUGUAAAAGAUGAAAUAUUUGACCCAAAUUGAAAUUAAUUUCAUAGAUAAAGCUCAAAAUUUUACUAUGGAUAUGAAUUAUGUUUGUAUGUAUUUAUAUAUGUAUAUAUAGUUACGUGGCUACACAUUUCUAUGUAUCAGAAAUUAGCACAACUUAAACUUAGUAAAUGGUGAAAAUAAAACUAUUUUGGGUAUCGGAA